UACAGAGGUGGCAAGCGUUGUUCGGAAUUACUGGGCGUAAAGAGCUCGUAGGCGGCUUGUUACGUCGACUGUGAAAACCCGCGGCUCAACCGUGUGGCUUGCAGUCGAUACGGGCAGGCUAGAGUUCGGUAGGGGAGACUGGAAUUCCUGGUGUAGCGGUGAAAUGCGCAGAUAUCAGGAGGAACACCGGUGGCGAAGGCGGCGACCUGGGUCGAUACUGACGCUGAGGUGCGAAAGCGUGGGGAGCAAACAGG
rnacentral:rRNA from 1 species